rnacentral:rRNA from 1 species
AUGUGCAUGGUUUCUUUCUUCAUCUAUUUAAUCGCCAUUUGCCACUUCAAAAAGCUCUGUAGUUGCUCUGGUUCUGUUCGUGCUUCUCGUCGUUGUGCCAUUCCAGUACAUACGCAAGAGGAGGCAGUACAAGUGACUUCCUCGUCCAGGCUCCGCAAGUACAGUAACUCAGGCGGGACACCCCACUACAGUGGCAGCGACCUGGAGUUCGGCAGAGUCCACAGGCUGCAGCAGACACACCAAUUCGCAUAUGAGGAGCUGGAGGAGCCCACGGCGGCAUCAGCGACACGCGAGAGCUCGGCGGCGAGCGACGACUUCGGCACCAUGCAUGUACGAACGAUAACUACAGGACGGGCGGGCAGUGGUGGUGGAGCGGUUGUACGACCACAGCUGCUGGCACGUGCAGCAGUUCAUGAACUAGGCGACGAUCCUGUCACAGCUACACCACCUGAACCUCGUCAUCUUCUAAGGAUCCUGUCGCAGCUGCACCAUCUGAACCUCGUCAUCUUCCACGGCUGCACGUCCAGACGAAGCCAUGUGCUGCUGCUGGUGUACGAGUAG